rnacentral:rRNA from 1 species
UGUAUGUCAUACUUCCAAGAAAAGCUUGCACUGUCAUAAGUAAAAAAUGCCUGUACCAUAACCGACACAGGUGGGUAGGUAGAGUAUACUAAGGGGCGCGAGAUAACUCUCUCUAAGGAACUCGGCAAAAUGACUCCGUAACUUCGGGAGAAGGAGUGCCUUAUUUAUAAGGUUGCAAUAACAAGAUCCAAGCAACUGUUUAUCAAAAACACAGGUCUCCGCUAAGUCGUAAGACGAUGUAUGGGGGCUGACGCCUGCCCAGUGCCAGAAGGUUAAAGAAGUUGGUUAGAGUAUGCGAAGCUGAUGACUGAAGCCCUGGUGAACGGCGGCCGUAACAAUAACGGUCCUAAGGUAGCGAAAUUCCUUGUCGGGUAAGUUCCGACCCGCACGAAAGGCGUAAUGAUUUGGAUACUGUCUCGGAGAGAGGCUCGGUGAAAUAGACUUGUCUGUGAAGAUGCGGACUACCUGCACCAGGACAGAAAGACCCUAUGAAGCUUUACUGUAACUUGAAAUUGGAAUUGGACUUUGCUUGCGCAGUAUAGGUGGGAAGCGUUGAAGAUAUUCUUGCGGGAGUAUUGGAGCUAUCAGUGAGAUACCACUCUUGUAAUGUUAGAUUUCUAACUUUGAACCAUAAUCUGGUCAAAGAACAGUUUCAGGUGGGCAGUUUGACUGGGGCGGUCGCCUCCCAAAUGGUAACGGAGGCGUACAAAGGUUUCCUCUGAACGGAUAGAAAUCGUAUCUAGAGUGUAAAGGCAUAAGGAAGCUUGACUGUGAGACCUACAAGUCGAGCAGGGACGAAAGUCGGUCUUAGUGAUCUGACGGUACUGAGUGGAAAGGCCGUCACUCAACGGAUAAAAGUUACUCUAAGGAUAACAGGCUGAUCUCCCCCAAGAGUUCACAUCGACGGGGAGGUUUGGCACCUCGAUGUCGGCUCAUCGCAUCCUGGGGCGGUAGUACGUCCCAAGGGUUGGGCUGUUCGCCCAUGAAAGCGGUACGCGAGCUGGGUUCAGAACGUCGUGAGACAGUUCGGUCCAUAUCCGGUGUAGGCGUUAGAAUAUUGAGAGGAGCCUUCUUUAGUACGAGAGGACCGAGAAGGACACACCGCUGGUGUACCAGUUAUCGUGCCAACGGUAAACGCUGGGUAGCUAUGUGUGGAGUGGAUAACCGCUGAAAGCAUCUAAGUGGGAAGCCCACCUCAAGAUGAGUAUUC